rnacentral:rRNA from 1 species
GUGGGGAAUAUUGGACAAUGGGCGAAAGCCUGAUCCAGCCAUGCCGCGUGUGUGAAGAAGGUCUUCGGAUUGUAAAGCACUUUAAGUUGGGAGGAAGGGCAGUAAGUUAAUACCUUGCUGUUUUGACGUUACCGACAGAAUAAGCACCGGCUAACUUCGUGCCAGCAGCCGCGGUAAUACGAAGGGUGCAAGCGUUAAUCGGAAUUACUGGGCGUAAAGCGCGCGGAGGUGGUUUUGUAAGUUGGAGGUGAAAUCCCCGGGCUCAACCCGGGAACUGCCUCCAAAACUGCAUGACUAGAGUACGGUAGAGGGUAGUGGAAUUUCCUGUGUAGCGGUGAAAUGCGUAGAUAUAGGAAGGAACACCAGUGGCGAAGGCGACUACCUGGACUGAUACUGACACUGAGGUGCGAAAGCGUGGGGAGCAAACAGGAUUAGAUACCCGUGUAGUCC